GAAUGCACGAUGACGGUCAUGAGACAUCGCACUUCGUCAGCUGCUCGACCUUGCUGUUGACUUGCGCGGACUUGAGAGCGACGCAGAGGAUCGCCAGUGCGAG